GGAGGCGUGGCAGAGUGGUUUAAUGCACCGGUCUUUAAAACCGGCAGUCGCUCCGGCGACUGCCGGUUUUAAAGACCGGCAGUCGCUCCGGCGACUCAUAGGUUCAAAUCCUAUCGCCUCCG
rnacentral:tRNA from 1 species